rnacentral:rRNA from 1 species
AGCGAACGCUGGCGGCAGGCCUAACACAUGCAAGUCGAACGAAGCCUUCGGGCUUAGUGGCGGACGGGUGAGUAACACGUGGGAACGUACCUUUUGGUUCGGAACGACUCAGGGAAACUUGAGCUAAUACCGGAUGAGCCCUUAGGGGGAAAGAUUUAUCGCCGAAAGAGCGGCCCGCGUUAGAUUAGCUAGUUGGUGAGGUAAUGGCUCACCAAGGCAACGAUCUAUAGCUGGUCUGAGAGGAUGAUCAGCCACACUGGGACUGAGACACGGCCCAGACUCCUACGGGAGGCAGCAGUGGGGAAUCUUGCGCAAUGGGCGAAAGCCUGACGCAGCCAUGCCGCGUGAAUGAUGAAGGUCUUAGGAUUGUAAAAUUCUUUUACCAGGGACGAUAAUGACGGUACCUGGAGAAAAAGCCCCGGCUAACUUCGUGCCAGCCGCCGCCGUAACAC